UACGGAGGGUGCGAGCGUUGUCCGGAAUCACUGGGCGUAAAGGGCGCGUAGGCGGCGAGGAUAGUCAACGGUGAAAGCUUGGGGCUCAACCCCGAGUCGGCCGUCGAUACUUCCUUGCUUGAGCACUGUAGAGGCAGAUGGAAUUCCGGGUGUAGCGGUGGAAUGCGUAGAGAUCCGGAAGAACACCGGUGGCGAAGGCGGUCUGCUGGGCAGUAGCUGACGCUGAGGCGCGACAGCGUGGGGAGCAACAGG
rnacentral:rRNA from 1 species